CACUGCGAGAAAGGAACCGGCGGCAGCUUGGUUCCUGCGCGGAUGCUGGGGCUGUAGGCGCCGCGCUUUCGGCUCGUUGCCGCUCACAGGGAAGAGGACGCCGGGGCUCGCUUUCCCUCCGCUGCCUCCGCCACUGCCAUGAUUCCAGUGUCGCUGGUGGUAGUGGUGGUGGGCGGCUGGACUGCCGUCUACCUGACCGACUUGGUACUGAAGUCAUCUGUGUAUUUUAAGCAUUCUUAUGAAGACUGGCUGGAAAACAAUGGAUUGAGCAUCUCCCCUUUUCACAUAAGAUGGCAAACUGCUGUUUUCAAUCGUGCCUUUUACAGUUGGGGACGGCGGAAAGCAAGGAUGCUUUACCAGUGGUUCAAUUUUGGAAUGGUGUUUGGCGUAAUUGCCAUGUUCAGCUCUUUUUUCCUCCUCGGGAAAACGCUAAUGCAGACUUUGGCACAGAUGAUGGCUGACUCUCCCUCUUCUUAUUCUUCCUCCUCUUCCUCCUCUUCCUCUUCCUCCUCUUCCUCUGCUUCUUCCUCUUCAUCGUCUUCCUCUUCCUCCUCCUCUUCCUCCUCCUCCUCACUUCACAAUGAGCAAGUGCUACAAGUUGUGGUUCCUGGUAUAAAUUUACCUGUCAACCAACUGACCUAUUUCUUCGCUGCAGUUCUCAUUAGUGGUGUUGUACAUGAAAUUGGACAUGGGAUAGCAGCUAUUAGGGAACAAGUUCGAUUUAAUGGCUUUGGGAUUUUUCUCUUCGUUAUUUAUCCUGGAGCAUUUGUUGAUCUGUUCACCACUCACUUGCAACUUAUAUCACCAGUCCAGCAGCUAAGGAUAUUCUGUGCAGGUAUCUGGCAUAAUUUUGUCCUUGCGCUCCUUGGUAUUUUAGCUCUUGUGCUCCUCCCUGUAAUUCUCUUGCCAUUUUACUACACUGGAGUCGGGGUGCUUAUCACUGAAGUUGCUGAGGACUCACCAGCCAUUGGACCCAGAGGCCUUUUUGUGGGAGACCUUGUCACCCAUCUACAGGAUUGCCCUGUUACUAAUGUACAAGAUUGGAAUGAAUGUCUAGAUACCAUCGCCUAUGAGCCCCAAAUUGGUUACUGUAUUAGUGCAUCAACUUUACAGCAGUUAAGCUUCCCAGUUAGAGCAUACAAACGGCUAGAUGGUUCGACCGAAUGCUGUAAUAAUCACAGCCUCACGGAUGUGUGCUUUUCCUACAGAAAUAACUUUAAUAAGCGUUUGCACACGUGUUUACCUGCCCGGAAAGCAGUUGAAGCCACACAAGUUUGUAGAACCAAUAAAGAUUGUAAAAAAAGUUCAAGUUUCUGUAUAAUACCUUCUUUGGAAACUCAUACUCGCUUAAUAAAAGUGAAACAUCCACCUCAAAUUGAUAUGUUGUAUGUAGGCCAUCCACUGCACCUUCACUACACAGUGAGCAUCACCAGUUUUAUCCCACGUUUCAACUUUCUAAGCAUAGAUCUGCCUGUGGUUGUGGAGACAUUUGUCAAGUACCUGAUUUCCCUCUCAGGAGCUCUAGCUAUUGUUAAUGCAGUGCCCUGCUUUGCUUUGGAUGGUCAGUGGAUUUUAAACUCUUUCCUAGAUGCUACCCUUACCUCAGUGAUUGGAGACAAUGAUAUCAAAGAUCUGAUAGGAUUUUUCAUCUUGCUCGGUGGUAGUGUACUUUUGGCUGCCAACGUGACCCUGGGACUCUGGAUGGUUACAGCACGGUAAUAUUUGCACUCAUCUUGCAGAAUGAUACUUCAUAUGAAAUAGAAAGCAUUUCCUUAAAAUUACAUUUUAACCAACGACUUUAAGCUCCUCCUGUAUCAGAAUAUCCAAACUCUGGGAUGGGGGAUAAACAGAAGAAAUGAAAGGCAUAGUCUCUGACUACAUCCAACUUUUAAAGACUGAACUUAACAAACUUCAGAUGCUUGUGGAACAAUUUCUAAACAAGUGAAAAUUCAUGUUAAACCAUUUUGUGUGACUACAUAUCAUAUUGCAGUAGUGUAAAGGAGAACAGAAUUGGGUGGAAUUAAUCGGGGAAAACUUUUUGAAAAAGCAUCAUUAAUCCAGAUUUGAAGAAGACCAGACUCUGGCCAAGUGGAAGGGUGAGCAUUUUCUUGGCCUAUAUCUCUUGUCCUUUUUCUUAGUUUGAAAAGUAUUUUAAGAUUUAUUGGUAUAUUAUUUUGUACUCUGACAACUGAGGUCUGAUUACAAUUAAUAAAAUUCUAUGAAAGAAUCUGCUGACAUGAAAGGGAAAAUCUUUGUCAAAUGAUACCAAAUAGGUGAACAAAGUAGGAAGUAGGGCUUACAAUGAUAAAUGCUUUGCCCCACAAAAGUUGCCUCUUUGAUAAUGUGUCCCCAUAUGCUCCUAAAGCAGCACUGUGUUCUGACAUUCAGACUGAGCUACAAGAAGUAUCUUCCACUUGCAGCAUGUGAGUUGAGGAAGUUAAAGUUGAGCGUGAGAACUGAGCUUGGUCUUUUAACAGAUCACGAGACAGAUCUGCUGCAGUCCUGGUUACCAUUCUCUACAGAGCUUUGAAGCUCGGAACCUUUCCAGGGUAGACGUUUUCUCUUAUGCUGCUGGGGUUAUCUGGGGCCUAGGUCCUGGGUUCCUGUCUUCAAGGAGCAACUACCUUAAGCUCUCAACCAUACUCUGUUCUCACCAGCAGCUUCCAUGUUUCUCUGUAUUGAGUAAUUAAACACCUAGUCCUUGUUUUCCAUCUUUCUCCUAAGCUACCUCUGUGGGUCCACAGAAGACUUGGUAGUACAGUGAGAAUGGCUACACAUGAGUACAGAUAUGGAUUUGCCAGAGCCUGGGAACUGACUCUUGAGCCCAAAAGAGCCCUGAGUAGUUCAAGGUCUUUUGGACUGGAGCUGGAGCCCUGGAAGAUCCAGGAAGUCACCUCAGGCCACUGUGAACUCUUGGUCUUCUAAGUGUCUGAGCGUGCUGUUCUUUAAUGAAAAAUAUGUGCUUCCCUCAUACACUCAAGAACAUUAACAACUGUGUACCCAACUUUUUCACUAAGUGAGGCAUUCCAUGGGGUUCACCUUUUUCUGAUCAUUGAGCCGCACUUCAGGCAAUAAAGGUUUUUAAUCAUUUUUAAGAAACUCUUUAGACUGUAUGCAAGUUUGCCUGUCUUCUUAAAUAGAAAUUAUUUAUUGAGUAUAAUGUUAAGAUUUUAUUAAUGACUUGAGGUCAUCAGUUAAACCAUACAAGUUAUUCGUUUAUCCCAGAAAAAAGGUGGUGGUUCUAUUCUUAGGUAGAUAGUGAUUCAGGAUCAAAGUCUUAGCAGAGAGCUCAGACCUGUUUAGGUAGUAGAGCUUGGGGAAUGCCAUGAAAUACUUGCAUAAUUAAUUUGAUUACAUGAACUAUGCAAUUUACUAAUGAAUAUGUCGUAUAUGUGCAGAUCAGUUUUUUAAAACAGAAAAAAACUUAAAUAGAGGAGCUCCUACCCAUUAACUUCUUUUUCUGGGUGGAAAAAAAACAACAACUGCAACAACAACAACAACCAAACACCUCAUUUUCUUGUAGCAUUUGAACAUCUUGGUCUCUUGCUUCAUAGGGUCAGGCUUUGAGAACCACUCUUACUAGGAUAAUGAGCAGAUCAGUCACAUUUGUAUAGAAAUGGCCUCAUCGUGUAAAAAAGGAAAUGUUGUCUGUUGUCUCUUCAGCUUGAUUGUGGGCACUUCUGGAGCAAGGACCAUGCCAUACUCAUCUUUGCAUCCCUGGCACAGUGCAUGAGACAUCAUAAAUACUUAAUAAACAUGGUUGAAUGGAUGAUGAAUACUGGUAUUUAUGGAUUAGAAAAGCAUGUUUCUAUUUAAGUGCCUGCUGUCCUUUAUCAAGAAGCUCUCCUUUAUUUGGAUUAUGGAAACACAUACAUUUUCAAGCUUUAAUUCCUCUCUCUGUGGAUUGUUUAAUAUUAGUCUUUAAAGGUUUAAAAAAAGAUCUGUCUUUGAAAUAGAUGUCCUGAUUUUAAACAGAUUGCUGGACCACAUGCCACCAGUCCCACUCCUGAAGCAGAACAUUCAAGGAGGAUGUCCAAAAAGCAGAGGCCACCUACUCCCCAGGAAGAAAGGCUAUGCUUCAACCAGCCUAACUCUACUUCAAGAAAAGGCACCCAGAAGAGAUGCAACCUGAGGGAUUCAUCCAAAUGUUUCUGCCAGGAUCUCUAGCACACUUUGGACACUGGAGGCAUAAAGUGAUUGGACGCAACCUGAAAAAAAGAGAGAACGAGUGCACAAGCAGGGGGAGCAGCAGAGGAAGAGGGAGCACCACUGAGCAGCGAAGGCAGAUGCUUAACCGACUGAGUCACCCAGGUGCCCCUAGGCAGAUAACUUUAAAGGCAAAAGACCCUGAGGGCAAAGCAGCAAGACCCUGCCUGUGCUUGACUUCAGGACAAUGAUCGACUUGACCUUCACGGCCCACCUGCAGAUAGAGAUUCCAGGAGGCUGACAUGGUAAGAAAUCUUACCUGCUACUGGCUGAAUGUCAGAAGUCCCAAGGAUCUCUCAGCUGCAGCAGUGUCAGGCUCCCAUAGCCUAUGAAAUGACAGGAAGGAAGAAGUGGGAAAGAAAGCUCUCCUUGAAUAUCCUGCUUUCAUCCGGAUGGAAAAUCUUUCUAGACGCAUCUAAAGAAGAGUGCUGCUGAAGGGUUCGCUGACCAAACCUGGGCCACAUGGCCAGCGCUACCAGCAAGGAGGGUGAGAGAGAGAGUAUCUGGUAUUUUUAGCCU